ensembl:snRNA U5 U5 spliceosomal RNA
AUACUCUGGUUUCCCUUCAGAACGUAUAAAUCUUUCGCCUUUUACUAAAGAUUUCCGUGGAGAGAAACAAUUCUGAGUCUUAAACCAAUUUUUUGUAAGCCUUGCUUAAUGCGAGGCU